rnacentral:rRNA from 1 species
AACGAACGCUGGCGGCAUGCCUAACACAUGCAAGUCGAACGAGACCUUCGGGUCUAGUGGCGCACGGGUGCGUAACGCGUGGGAACCUGCCCUUAGGUUCAGAAUAACUCCCCGAAAGGGGUGCUAAUACCGGAUAAUCUCUUCGGACCAAAGAUUUAUCGCCUUUGGAUGGGCCCGCGUUGGAUUAGCUAGUUGGUAGGGUAAAAGCCUACCAAGGCGACGAUCCAUAGCUGGUCUGAGAGGAUGAUCAGCCACACUGGGACUGAGACACGGCCCAGACUCCUACGGGAGGCAGCAGUGGGGAAUAUUGGACAAUGGGCGAAAGCCUGAUCCAGCAAUGCCGCGUGAGUGAUGAAGGCCUUAGGGUUGUAAAGCUCUUUUACCCGGGAUGAUAAUGACAGUACCGGGAGAAUAAGCUCCGGCUAACUCCGUG